rnacentral:rRNA from 1 species
GGAGGGUGCAAGCGUUAUCCGGAUUCACUGGGUUUAAAGGGUGCGUAGGCGGAUUAGUAAGUCCGUGGUGAAAUCUCCAAGCUUAACUUGGAAACUGCCGUGGAUACUAUUAGUCUUGAAUGUUGUGGAGGUUAGCGGAAUAUGUCAUGUAGCGGUGAAAUGCAUAGAUAUGACAUAGAACACCAAUUGCGAAGGCAGCUGGCUACACAAAUAUUGACGCUGAUGCACGAAAGCGUGGGGAUCAAACAGGAUUAGAUACCCUGGUAGUCCACGCCCUAAACGAUGAUUACUCGACAUUUGCGAUAUACAGUAAGUGUCUGAGCGAAAGCAUUAAGUAAUCCACCUGGGAAGUACGACCGCAAGGUUG